AGAGUUUGAUCCUGGCUCAGGAUGAACGCUAGCGGCAGGCUUAAUACAUGCAAGUCGAGGGGCAUCAAGGUACACGAAAGUGUAUUGUUGGCGACCGGCGGACGGGUGAGUAAUAGGUAGGUAACCUACCUCAUACUGAGGCAUAGCUGGGAGAAAUUCCAGGUAAUUCCUCAUGAGGUUAUAUGACACAUGUGAUAUAAUCAAAGGUAUCGCAAGGUACUGGUAUGAGAUGGGCUUACUGACCAUUAGCUAGUUGGUGAGAUAAGAGCUCACCAAGGCGAAGAUGGUUAGGGGUUUUGAGAGAGAGAUCCCCCACAUUGGAACUGAGAUACGGUCCAGACUCCUACGGGAGGCAGCAGUAGGGAAUAUUGGGCAAUGGGCGGAAGCCUGACCCAGCCAUGCCGCGUGAAGGAAGACGGCCUUAUGGGUUGUAAACUUCUUUACUAUGCGACUAACUAGAUUUACGAGAUAAUUCUAUAGAAUGUAGCAUAGCAAAAAGCACCGGCUAACUCCGUGCCAGCAGCCGCGGUAAUACGGAGGGUGCGAGCGUUAUUCGGAAUUACUGGGUUUAAAGGGUGCGUAGGCGGCUAAGUAAGUUGUCAUUGAAAGGCUACAGCUCAACUGUAGUAGUGGUGGCGAUACUGCUUAGCUAAGAACAUGGGAGGGGUACUUGGAAUGUGUGGUGUAGCGGUGAAAUGCGUAGAUAUCACACAGAACACCAGAGGCGAAGGCGGAGUACUAGACCAUAGUUGACGCUGAGGCACGAAAGCGUGGGGAUCAAACAGGAUUAGAUACCCUGGUAGUCCACGCCCUAAACGAUGAUCA
rnacentral:rRNA from 1 species